UACAGAGGUGGCAAGCGUUGUUCGGAAUUACUGGGCGUAAAGGGCGCGUAGGCGGCCUUCUAAGUCAGACGUGAAAUCCCCAGGCUUAACUUGGGAACUGCGUCUGAUACUGGGAGGCUUUGAGCGCGGGAGAGGGAUGUGGAAUUCCAGGUGUAGCGGUGAAAUGCGUAGAUAUCUGGAGGAACACCGGUGGCGAAGGCGGCAUCCUGGACCGACACUGACGCUGAGGCGCGAAAGCUAGGGGAGCAAACGGG
rnacentral:rRNA from 1 species